rnacentral:rRNA from 1 species
GAUGAACGCUGGCGGCGUGCCUAAUACAUGCAAGUCGAGCGAACGGACGAGAAGCUUGCUUCUCUGAUGUUAGCGGCGGACGGGUGAGUAACACGUGGAUAACCUACCUAUAAGACUGGGAUAACUUCGGGAAACCGGAGCUAAUACCGGAUGAUAUUUUGAACCGCAUGGUUCAAAAGUGAAAGACGGUCUUGCUGUCACUUAUAGCUGGAUCCGCGCUGCAUUAGCUAGUUGCUAAGGUAACGGCUUACCACGGCAACGAUGCAUAGCCGACCUGAGCGGGGGGUCGGCCACAUGGGAACGGAGACGCGGUCCAGACUCCUACGGGAGGCAGCAGUAGGGAAUCGGCCGCAAUGGGGGAAAGCCUGACGGAGCGACGGGGCGUGAGUGAUGAAGGUCUUCGGAGCGGAAAGCUCGGUUAUUAGGGAAGAACAUAUGUGUAAGGAACUGUGCACAGCGUGACGGUACCUAAUCAGAAAGCCACGGCUAACUACGUG